AACGAACGCUGGCGGCGCGCCUAACACAUGCAAGUCGAACGAGAAUCCGGGGCAACCCGGUAGUAAAGUGGCAAACGGGUGAGGAAUACAUGGGUAACCUACCCUUGAGAAGGGAAUAACCCGCCGAAAGGUGAGCUAAUACCCUAUACGCUAUCUUUUUUUCGAAAAGGAUAGGAAAGCCGGGUCGAGGACCUGGUACUCAAGGAGGGGCUCAUGUCCUAUCAGCUUGUUGGUGGGGUAACGGCCUACCAAGGCUACGACGGGUAGCUGGUCUGAGAGGAUGAUCAGCCACACUGGCACUGAGAUACGGGCCAGACUCCUACGGGAGGCAGCAGUGAGGAAUAUUGCGCAAUGGGCGAAAGCCUGAAGCAGCAACGCCGCGUGUGCGAUGAAGGCCUUCGGUCGUAAAGCACUUUCUAAGAGAUGAGAAAGGACGAGUAUCUUAGGUAAUAAGUACUCGGCUAACUACGUGCCAGCAGCCGCGGUAA
rnacentral:rRNA from 1 species